rnacentral:rRNA from 1 species
UACGUAGGGGGCUAGCGUUGUCCGGAUUUAUUGGGCGUAAAGAGCGUGUAGGCGGCUAUGCAGGUCAGCUGUGAAAACUCGAGGCUCAACCUCGAGACGUCGGUUGAAACCGUAUGGCUAGAGUCCGGAAGAGGAGAGUGGAAUUCCCGGUGUAGCGGUGAAAUGCGCAGAUAUCGGGAAGAACACCCGUGGCGAAGGCGGCUCUCUGGGACGGUACUGACGCUGAGACGCGAAAGCGUG